rnacentral:rRNA from 1 species
AUUGAACGCUGGCGGCAGGCCUAACACAUGCAAGUCGAGCGAGCGGCGGACGGGUGAGUAAUGUAUGGGGACUGCCCGAUAGAGGGGGAUAACUACUGGAAACGGUGGCGAAUACCGCAUACUAUCGGAUAACCCAUAGGGGAUUGGCUAGUAGGUGGGGUAAAGGCUCACCUAGGCGACGAUCUAUAGCUGGUCUGAGCGGAUGAUCAGCCCCACUGGUGUUGAGACACCGCCCAGACUCCUACGGAGGCAGCAUUGGGUAAUAUUGCCAAAUGGGCGCAAGCCUGAUUCAGCCAUGCCGCGUGUGUGAAGAAGGCCUUCGGGUUGUAAAGUACUUUCAGCGUGGAGGCGUUACCCGCAGAAGAAGCACCGGCUAACUCCGUGCCAGCAGCCGCGGUAAUAC